UACGAAGGGGGCUAGCGUUGUUCGGAUUUACUGGGCGUAAAGCGCACGUAGGCGGAUUGUUAAGUUAGGGGUGAAAUCCUGGAGCUCAACUCCAGAACUGCCUUUAAUACUGGCAAUCUCGAGUCGGGAAGAGGUAAGUGGAACUCCUAGUGUAGAGGUGGAAUUCGUAGAUAUUAGGAAGAACACCAGUGGCGAAGGCGGCUUACUGGUCCGGUACUGACGCUGAGGUGCGAAAGCGUGGGGAGCAAACAGG
rnacentral:rRNA from 1 species